UGCAAGUCGAGCGAACAGACGAGGAGCUUGCUCCUCUGACGUUAGCGGCGGACGGGUGAGUAACACGUGGAUAACCUACCUAUAAGACUGGGAUAACUUCGGGAAACCGGAGCUAAUACCGGAUAAUAUAUUGAACCGCAUGGUUCAAUAGUGAAAGACGGUUUUGCUGUCACUUAUAGAUGGAUCCGCGCCGCAUUAGCUAGUUGGUAAGGUAACGGCUUACCAAGGCAACGAUGCGUAGCCGACCUGAGAGGGUGAUCGGCCACACUGGAACUGAGACACGGUCCAGACUCCUACGGGAGGCAGCAGUAGGGAAUCUUCCGCAAUGGGCGAAAGCCUGACGGAGCAACGCCGCGUGAGUGAUGAAGGUCUUCGGAUCGUAAAACUCUGUUAUUAGGGAAGAACAAAUGUGUAAGUAACUAUGCACGUCUUGACGGUACCUAAUCAGAAAGCCACGGCUAACUACGUGCCAGCAGCCGCGGUAAUACGUAGGUGGCAAGCGUUAUCCGGAAUUAUUGGGCGUAAAGCGCGCGUAGGCGGUUUUUUAAGUCUGAUGUGAAAGCCCACGGCUCAACCGUGGAGGGUCAUUGGAAACUGGAAAACUUGAGUGCAGAAGAGGAAAGUGGAAUUCCAUGUGUAGCGGUGAAAUGCGCAGAGAUAUGGAGGAACACCAGUGGCGAAGGCGACUUUCUGGUCUGUAACUGACGCUGAUGUGCGAAAGCGUGGGGAUCAAACAGGAUUAGAUACCCUGGUAGUCCACGCCGUAAACGAUGAGUGCUAAGUGUUAGGGGGUUUCCGCCCCUUAGUGCUGCAGCUAACGCAUUAAGCACUCC
rnacentral:rRNA from 1 species